GUAGGUGAACCUGCGGAAGGAUCAUUAACACGUAUCCAACGUUAAACCCCCCUGUGAACAUUUACUUCUUGCUCUUGAAGCACAUGUUAAAUUGCAAUCCCUGGUAAAUCAUUGUUGAACAGAUUUUGAUUCAGGGACCUCAGUUUAUUGGGCUUUGAUUGAAGCGAUCGUUGCAAGCGACCUGGUUUCCCCAAGCAGUCAGUGUCUGAAAGUGUCAUUGGCUGUGUAAGGAUAACGCCAUCGAUCACUG
rnacentral:misc_RNA from 1 species